CAGCAGCCACGGGAAUACAGAGGGUGCAAGCGUUAAUCGGAAUUACUGGGCGUAAAGCGCGCGUAGGUGGUUUGUUAAGUUGGAUGUGAAAUCCCCGGGCUCAACCUGGGAACUGCAUCCAAAACUGGCAAGCUAGAGUAUGGUAGAGGGUGGUGGAAUUUCCUGUGUAGCGGUGAAAUGCGUAGAUAUAGGAAGGAACACCAGUGGCGAAGGCGACCACCUGGACUGAUACUGACACUGAGGUGCGAAGGCGUGGGGAGCAAACAGGAUUAGAUACCCCCGUAGUCCCUGUCUCUUAUAC
rnacentral:rRNA from 1 species